CCGUUAAUGGCUGGUGGAACUUCUUGCUUCCUUUCCCAGCAUUUGUCUGUGGUACACACACAAACACACACACGCACACAGGGUCAGAAUGAAUUGAGUGGCAAGGCAGUGGAUGUCAGAGCGUGGACAUAGAGUCUCGGACUAUUUAAGCAGGAAGAGGCUUGUUUGGAAUCAAGGGUGCCACCGCUGUGCAAAAUAUGCAAUAACCCUCAUUUCCUCUGCUCCUGGUUUCCCAGAAAGGAGAGCAAAUCUCAGAGAGCCUGUGACUUAUCCGACGUCACAAGGUGAGUCGGUGGAGGGGGAUACUUGGGGACUGGGCUCCCGGCCUCCCGAUUACAAACUUGAUGCUCUUUGCCUGCAAAUGGGUUACACCUCGGAAUGUUGGGCGUCUUCCUGAAAAUGGUUUGAUAAGUCUUUUUUUCAAGUCCUGAACACAUUGACAACGGAUGCUUGUGCUAAAGGGAGACAGCCCCGGCGAGGAGGUCCCCUUCUCCUUACUGUGAAGGAAACGAACAUUUACUGAGCACCUGGCAGCUGCCACACAUUGAACUCAGCAGACGCCCACUGUCUGACCCAAGCCUCAGCGCCAGGUGGGAAUUAUGGUUUCCUGCGGUGCAGAUGAGGAUGCUGAGGUUUGCUUGGGUAAAUGCCUUCUUCAAGGCCACAUGGCCAGGACGUGGUGGACGCGGGAUUUGAGCUUGGUUCUGCGUUAUGUUAAAGAGAUGACAAAGUUUCAGAGGGCUUAGCUCCUCAAGGAUCUUAAGCGUCAGAAGCAUUCAGAUCAUAAUAUAUGAUGACAGUGACCCCAGUGCCACCAGGGAUGGAGUGCCUACUGUGCUGAGUGCUUUCCAUGCAGGGUUGCCAGGUACAGUUGUGCAGGGUGUGUACUGCAGAAGAGCUCCCAGCCAAAGGGACAAAGGAGAGCUGAGCCCAGUCUUUGAGCGGCUCCCCAGACCCUGGCAUAAGUCUGCCUCCACCUGGAGGAGGGGUGUGCCCUUCUCUAGUCACUCUGCCAGGAGGGGCUGCCUUCUUUGAAUUCUCACAAAGUUACUCCACACAAGCCACCAUCCUUUUUUGCACAAGUGAUUUCCCACAGCCUGGAGGGCAGCUCUCACACUGUGCCCAUUUUAAAUACGAAGAAACAGAGGCACGGGCAAGAUUGACUUCCUGCCCAGUGGUCCGCAGCUCUUUCAGUGGCAGAACCAAAAUCUGAACGUAGGGAUGCAAAACUCCAGGGCCGGAGGAGACAGGAAUCUGCAGCUGUAUCUGCCAUCCCCCACCCCCAAAAGACUGGAGUUUCACAAGAUUCUAAGGAUAGAAUCUGGGGGGCCAGUUUGGGGGCCCCUGGGAGGAGGUGUUCUCUGCCCUGUGUCACAGCAAUCAAGAGAAAUUCUGAGACAGCAGAUGGCACUCAGGACCAAUCCAGUGGGGCUUUUUCAACCUGUCGCUCUUGGGACCACAUGUCUGUGCUCUUCUCCGUCAUCUUCCUCCAUGGAGAUUCCAUGGAUGGGGCAAAAGACCCCCAGACUGUGUGGGUCUGACCUUCCCCCACCCCAUGCCCUCUGUCCUAGGAUACCUCCCUGGAGAUCAAUAUCAAUGCAAAGCCAAUUGUCAUGCACUGUCCCAGAGCCAAUUACUCAUUCUGAGGGACCCCGAGAUGGCUUGAGGAGUCGACAAAUAAAGAGGCAAUCAUUUGCAAUUUGCUGUUUACACAUCAUCAGAGUGUACCAAGGGGAAAAAAUAGUGUCACAGCUUCCAGCUUCCCACGUUUUAUUUUGAUCUUCUCCUAAAUCGAUACGUAAGUGGAGAGGCAGCUGGAGACAAAUGUUUUGGGGAAAAAAAUGUUUGGGUGUGUUUGGCUAAGGGAAGGAAGGACUGUUUGUAAACACAAACGCACAGUCUAAGAAGGCUGAAUGAGACUGUGGAACCCCCCGAAAAGGAGUGGACAGCAAAUGACAGCUGCAGGACUGUUACCCUAAGCCACACACCGAGGCAGGCACUUGACGAGAGUGAUGGCUGUGGACCUUUCGCAUGCAUCCUGGGGGUGGAGUCCAUCAUGAGUCCCAUUUCACAGGUGGGGAAAUUGAGGCCCCAGGGGAUGAGGGUUCCUGUCUGAGGAGGCCGUGCACCAGUAGGAACCAGGACUUGCCCCCUGAGCCAGGGUGAUGCUGGGGUCUAGGAUUUUUUCUUCUUGAAGUUCAGCCUCCAGAUUAGUUUCCCUGAGUUUUGAUGCUGCUCAUUUGUUUUGGGACCAUGAAGGGGCUUGAAACGGGAGUCCUUUCUUGAGAGGAGAGUCUCGGGAUGUGGUGCUCUCUCUGGCUCCUCUCCCAUUGUCCUCCACGGAUCACUUCGGCUUCAAGCAACUAAUAAAGGGGGAGAGCCGCUGGGGACAAAGGGGACGUGGCCAGGAGGCCUCAGGGAGGGGCACAGUGACAGGGCUGUUGCUCCUGGUUUAAGAGGAAAGGGAUGUUUCCCGUCUCCAGAACAUUUGUCAGAGUUCAUCUUUUCUCUUUCCUGCUCUCCAACUCAAUUUCUGCAUGGCAAGCCCUUUCCCAUGCUUACACGAUUUAAACACAUGAAAACGUGCAGACGUGAGCACAUCAGUGGUGUUGAGAACUCUCUUGAUGCGUCUCCCAGGCUUCUCUGUAGAUCUGGGAUCUCCUGGAGGAAAGAGGCUCUACCCUCUUCAAUUCUGUGUUUGUAAGUCUUAGACUAGAGUCUGGUCCCUGGUGGGAACACACAGCGAGCAUUAUUACUACUGAUACUAAAUAUGUGUGUGAGUGCGUGUGCUAAAGUGUGUCAGGCUAGCGCUCUCUGAG
rnacentral:lncRNA from 1 species